rnacentral:rRNA from 1 species
AUGAACGCUGGCGGCGUGCCUAAUACAUGCAAGUCGCGCGAACGGACGAGAAGCUUGCUUCUCUGAUGUUAGCGGCGGACGGGUGAGUAACACGUGGACAACCUACCUAUAAGACUGGGAUAACUUCGGGAAACCGGAGCUAAUACCGGAUGAUAUUUUGAACCGCAUGGUUCAAAAGUGAAAGACGGUCUUGCUGUCACUUAUAGAUGGAUCCGCGCUGCAUUAGCUAGUUGGUAAGGUAACGGCUUACCAAGGCAACGAUGCAUAGCCGACCUGAGAGGGUGAUCGGCCACACUGGAACUGAGACACGGUCCAGACUCCUACGGGAGGCAGCAGUAGGGAAUCUUCCGCAAUGGGCGAAAGCCUGACGGAGCAACGCCGCGUGAGUGAUGAAGGUCUUCGGAUCGUAAAACUCUGUUAUUAGGGAAGAACAUAUGUGUAAGUAACUGUGCACAUCUUGACGGUACCUAAUCAGAAAGCCACGGCUAACUACGUG